rnacentral:rRNA from 1 species
CCUACGGGCGGCAGCAGUGAGGAAUAUUGGUCAAUGGGCGCGAGCCUGAACCAGCCAAGUAGCGUGAAGGAUGACUGCCCUACGGGUUGUAAACUUCUUUUAUAAAGGAAUAAAGUGAGGCACGUGGGCCUUUUUGUAUGUACUUUAUGAAUAAGGAUAGGCUAAACCCGUGCCAGCAGCAGCGGUAAUAAGGAGGAUCCGAGCGUUAUACGGAUUUAUUGGGUGUAAAGGGCGCGUAGAUGGGUUGUUAAGUCAGUUGUGAAAGUUUGCGGCUCAACCGGAAAAUUGCAAUUGAUACUGGCAGCCUUGAGUACAGUUGAGGUAGGCGGAAUUCGUGGUGUAGCGGUGAAAUGCUUAGAUAUCACGAAGAACUCAGAUUGCGAAGGCAGCUUACUAAACUGCCACUGACAUUGAUGCUCGAAAGUGUGGGUAUCAAACAGGAUUAGAUACCCGGGUAGUC